GUGUGUGUGUGUGCGCGCGCGUGGUUCGUUCGGUGUCUCCAGGCUACUGACCAAGUACCGAGGGCUUCAUCUAUCUAAAAGGAGUUUUUUCCAUCUGAAUGUGGCAGCAACGGGACACAGCAGCAGAGCGAGUCAACAUCCAGAAGACUGGAGCCGUGUUUCACUGACAGGCUGUCAGACUAACGCCCUGAUGAGCUCAGCUGGGACAAACUGGUCUGAUGUUUAGGAACACAGAACGUUCAGAUGUUGAAGCUUCACGUCACCUACUGAGGAAGGAGACCCACCAGUAAAGAGACGGUCUGGACCAGACCAAAAAUAUGGCGAUGACAUCAUGGAACUGGUCUUUGGAAAAGUUUUCCCUGAACCAACUCCGUUUCUAGAUGAGGUAGAGAAGAUCUGCAUCUCACCAACCCUCUGGUCUCAGUAUUCAGACAACGGAGGUCUCCCACUGUUAUCCAGGACCAGUUUGAAGCCCACAUACUGCCCCUCCCUCAUCAUCAGGAAACAUCAAUCCGUAUCCUGAGGACAACAGAAGACGGCAGGAGGACAGGAACUCUGAGACCUAGAUACCACCAGCACCGGCACACAAAGCACCUGUGUGCACAACGCCUGUUUAACUACUAAAGCCUGUUUAUUAUAUUGUUCUACUUAUUUGCUGUGAGGUUAAUACUUAGAAAAUUUGUAUAUUAAUGUAAACAAUAAAAAAAUCACUGAUUGUAUGUUUUCUUUUAGAUGUAAUGGUCCAAACUCAGCCUUGUAGACAUUUAUUGCAUCCUGUAGGUAAAUACACAGAACAGGCUCAGAUCCAGGAUGACCCAGCAUGCUCUUCUUCCAUUCUGGCUGUUAGGGAUUGUAUCAAUAACUCAAUGCCUACUGAUGUUUUCACCUAACGGUAUUUAUUUAGAAUGCAGGUCAGAUUUAACUAUAUUUGUUAGCAAAGCAGACUGAUCUUGGGAAUUUCACUGCAGCACUGAUGUCCACCUGUGUGUACACAUUAGAGAGAAUUACCACUUUACAGCUAAACACAUAUUUAAUAAAGAUAUAGGCUACGCAUUGCAGACAAUAAAAACAAAGUUGUAAGCAUUAGAAUUAU